rnacentral:rRNA from 1 species
AACCUCCGCAAUGUGAGAAAUCGCGACGGGGGGAUCCCAAGUGCCAUUCUUAACGGGAUGGCUUUUCAUUAGUGUAAAGAGCUUUUGGAAUAAGAGCUGGGCAAGACCGGUGCCAGCCGCCGCGGUAACACCGGCAGCUCUAGUGGUAGCAAUUUUUAUUGGGCCUAAAGCGUCCGUAGCCGGUUUAAUAAGUCUCUGGUGAAAUCCUGUAGCUUAACUGUGGGAAUUGCUGGAGAUACUAUUAGACUUGAGACCGGGAGAGGUUAGAGGUACUCCCAGGGUAGAGGUGAAAUUCUGUAAUCCUGGGAGGACCGCCUGUUGCGAAGGCGUCUAACUGGAACGGUUCUGACGGUGAGGGACGAAAGUUAGGGGCGCGAACCGGAUUAGAUACCCGGGUAGUCCUAACUGUAAACGAUGCGGACUUGGUGUUGGGGUGGCUUUGAGCUGUCUCAGUGCCGAAGGGAAGCUGUUAAGUCCGCCGCCUGGAAGUACGGUCGCAAGACUGAAACUUAAAGGAAUU